rnacentral:rRNA from 1 species
ACCGGCGGCUCGAGUGGUGGCCACUAUUACUGGGCUUAAAGCGUUCGUAGCUGGCUUGUUAAGUCUCUGGGGAAAUCUUCCGGCUCAACCGGAAGGCGUCUCAGGGAUACUGGCAGGCUAGGGACCGGAAGAGGUGAGAGGUACUCCAGGGGUAGGGGUGAAAGCCUGUGACCCCGGGGGGGAGACCUGUGGCGAAGGCGACUCACCCGGACGACUCCGACAGUGAGGAACGAAAGCUGGGGGAGCAAACCG